rnacentral:lncRNA from 10 species
CAUACCCAUUCAGAAUCUAAGUGACAUGCAGUUUAUCCACAGGAGCAUGAAGAAGGAAUUACUUGGAGUAUUCUACAAAGCAACUGGCCUGAACACUUCAAAAAUAAAAUAUCACGAACAGAAAAAGGAGGGAAAGGGCAAUUUUGGAUCAGAAAAGAUUGAAUGAAACACAACAGUGAAAUGCGAUGUUACAAACCUUGAUUGGAUUCUGGGUCAAAUUUUGAAGAAAGCAGUGGCUCACGCCUAUGGUCCCAGUGAUUUGAGAGGCUGAGGCAGGAAGACUACUUAAACACCGGAGUUCAAGGCUGCAGCGAGCUAUGAUUGUACCACUGCACUCCAGCCUGGGCAACAGAGCGACACACUGUCUGGAUUAAAAAAAAAAAAAAAAGAAAAGGAAAGUAAAGCAGGUAUUUGGGGGACAACUGGAAAGAUUUAAAUAUGGAGUAUAGGCCGGGUGCGGUGGCUCAUGCCUGUAAUCCCAGCACUUUGGGAGGCCAAGGUGGGUGGAUCACUAGAGGCCAGGAGUUCAAGACCAGCCUGGUCAACAUGGUGAAACCCCAUCUCUAGUAAAAAUACAAAAAUUAGCUAGGCAUGGCAGCACGCACUUGUAAUCCCAGUUACUCAGGAGGCUGAGGCAGGAGAAUCGCUUGAACCCAGGAGGCAGAGGUUGCAAGUGAGCCAAGAUCACACCACUGCACCCCAGCCUAGAGUGAGGCUUUGCCUCAAAACACACAUACACACACACCAGGCGGCAGCAAAUAUCUUACACACACACGCACACGCACACACACCCGGCGGCAGCAAAUAUCCCGCUCAGAGAGAAGGGCACACUCUGAAGUGCAAAUCCUCAAUCUUCAUUUACAACAGAAGAAACAAGGAUAUAUUAGCUGGUGGCAGGAGCUUCCCGGGCCUGUUUGGUUCUGAGAAGCAGGAGAGCCAGGGCACACUGACAAGAAAUAUUUGCUAGAAGCAAUCUGUCUCUGUGACAGCAGAAUGCCAGAGGCUCUUUAUGAUGAAAAAAAACAAAAAAUCCCAUAGUUGCCAGUGCCCAGCAAGAUGUUAAGACUAAUUGAACUCACACUCAAAACCUAGGAUAAUAGAAAUUUCACCUGGCCUGAACUCUACUCUGGUUCCUUCCCUACAGGAACUUCCCACAGAUUUUGAAUAAAAGCUCAAAAUUAAAACAGAGGUAAAACCAAAACCAAGGGGAUAUGAGAAGAAAAAAAAAAAGGACAGUUAAACAGAUGUCAGAAAACUCACCAGAAAACAAAAUUGCUACAGAGCAUAUGAAAAUUGUUUUUCCAAGAAUUAAAGCUACUUAAUGAAUUCCUGACUCACAGAAAUCAUGGUAAUAAUAAAUGUUUAUUGUUUUAUGUUAUUAGGUAUUAGGGUAUUUUGCUACACAGCACACAUGAAUAUAAUAUCCUACAAGGCAAUUAAACCAUAAUCUUUGAGGUUAUCUUCUCUACUAGACAGAAAUAAUUUACACCUCUACCCGAUAAAAAAUCUGUUGUAUCUUACCCAUUUUCUGGAAGUUAGAAACUGAGCCCUAAUCCAUAGUAAAUAGUAAAUGAAACAAAAAUACAUUCCUGUAAAGAAGGUUCCUAUAUCUCUGUACUAUUGACAUUUGGGGCCAGAGAAUUCUUUGUUGGGAAGUGGGAAGGGGGCUGUCCUGUGCGCUGUAGGGUAUUUAACAGCGUCCCUGGCUUCUGCCUUCUAGAUACCAUUAGCACUUCCUUUAUAACCAAAAAUGUCUUCAGACAUUUCCAAAUGUCCCCUAAGUGACAAAAUUGCUACUGGCUGAGAACCACUGUCCAUGCAUCAGAGUCACCUGAAGGUUUGUUAAAGCACACAUUGCUGGGCCUCAUUCACAGUUUCUGAUUCGGUUGGUCUGGGGUGGGGCCUGAGAACUUGCAUUUCUAAGUUCCCAGGUGAUGCUGGCGCUGAUGAUGCUAGUUGGGUACUGAACUUGAGAACUGCUUCUAGAAAGACAGAUGGCUCUCAAGCAGGCUUGUCAGACACUGCUGCAGAAUGACACCCGAGGACAUACAGCCAUCUUCUGCCUUAUUUCCAGGUUUUAGGUCCCUUCUUUUUUUUUGCAAUUCUUUCUAAAGAAGUGUAAGGUGAAGGCAAUUCUACAUAGUUAUAAAGGUCCACAUUACAGCAAAAUUUUAAUUCUUCCUAAAUAUCAGAGUAAAUGCAAAAAACCAAAGCAAAGAGACUCUAUACGAAAGUUAAAAGUUAUAAAAACAGAAAACAGAACUUAUAUAUAAGAGAACUAAGUUCAAACAUCUGUUAUAUAAAUGGGCUAAACUCACUUUUUUUUAAAGGGUACUCAGACUGAUAACACCACCACCAAAAAACCCCAAUUCUAUGCUGUGCACAAGAGACCUGCUGUAAAGUGAUUCAGGUGGCUGAAAACUUUUUUAAAUGGGCAAAUAUAUACCAAACAAACGCAAGCAGAAAGAAAACAUUGAUCAUAAAUAUAGUAUCACACAAAAUUAAAUUCAAGGCAAAAGGCACAAAAAAAGACUGGGCGCGGUGGCUCACGCCUGUAAUCCCAGCAAAAAAUCUGUAACAUGAGCCAAUGAGCGAAGUCGCCCAAUCUUCAGCUCACUCCCUUUGUUGUCCUUAACAAUGCUCUUACAGAGCAGCU